AACGUAGGAGCCAAGCGUUAUCCGAAUUUACUGGGCGUAAAGCGCGUGCAGGCGGUUGCGUAAGUGGAUUGUGAAAUCUCCCGGCUCAACUGGGAGGGGCCGGUCCAGACUGCGUGACUGGAGGCAGGUAGAGGGAGGUGGAAUUCCCGGUGUAGUGGUGAAAUGCGUAGAGAUCGGGAGGAACACCAGUGGCGAAAGCGGCCUCCUGGACCUGACCUGACGCUCAGACGCGAAAGCUAGGGGAGCGAACGGGAUUAGAAACCCCCGUAGUCC
rnacentral:rRNA from 1 species